rnacentral:rRNA from 1 species
GUCUAUGGCCAUACCACCCUGAAUGCGCCCAAUCUCAUCUGAUCUCGGAAGCUAAGCAGGGUCGGGCCUGGUUACUACUUGAAUGGGGGGAGAACAUGUGCACUUUAAAAA